rnacentral:rRNA from 1 species
GGCGUAGGCGGUUUUUCAAGUCGAGUGUAAAAUCUCCCGGCUUAACUGGGAGGGACCAUUCGAUACUGUUGGACUGGAGAUCAGCAGGGGGAGGUGGAAUUCCCGGUGUAGUGGUGAAAUGCGUAGAUAUCGGGAGGAACAUCAGUGGCGAAGGCGGCCUCCUAGGCUGUUUCUGACGCUGAGGCCCGAAAGCGUGGGGAGCGAACAGGAUUAGAUACCCUGGUAGUCC